GCGGCCCCUGGACGAAGACUGACGCUCAGGUGCGAAAGCGUGGGGAGCAAACAGGAUUAGAUACCCUGGUAGUCCACGCCGUAAACGAUGUCAACUUGGAGGUUGUGCCCUUGAGGCGUGGCUUCCGGAGCUAACGCGUUAAGUCGACCGCCUGGGGAGUACGGCCGCAAGGUUAAAACUCAAAUGAAUUGACGGGGGCCCGCACAAGCGGUGGAGCAUGUGGUUUAAUUCGAUGCAACGCGAAGAACCUUACCUGGUCUUGACAUCCACGGAAGUUUUCAGAGAUGAGAAUGUGCCUUCGGGAACCGUGAGACAGGUGCUGCAUGGCUGUCGUCAGCUCGUGUUGUGAAAUGUUGGGUUAAGUCCCGCAACGAGCGCAACCCUUAUCCUUUGUUGCCAGCGGUCCGGCCGGGAACUCAAAGGAGACUGCCAGUGAUAAACUGGAGGAAGGUGGGGAUGACGUCAAGUCAUCAUGGCCCUUCCGACCGGGGCUACACUCGUGCUA
rnacentral:rRNA from 1 species